GACGAACGCUGGCGGCGUGCUUAACACAUGCAAGUCGAGCGAUGAAGUUCCUUCGGGAACGGAUUAGCGGCGGACGGGUGAGUAACACGUGGGUAACCUGCCUCAUAGAGGGGAAUAGCCUUCCGAAAGGAAGAUUAAUACCGCAUAAGAUUGUAGUAUUGCGUGAUACAGCCAUUAAAGGAGCAAUCCGCUAUGAGAUGGACCCGCGUCGCAUUAGCUAGUUGGUGAGGUAACGGCUAACCAAGGCGACGAUGCGUAGCCGACCUGAGAGGGUGAUCGGCCACAUUGGGACUGAGACACGGCCCAGACUCCUACGGGAGGCAGCAGUGGGGAAUAUUGCACAAUGGGGGAAACCCUGAUGCAGCAACGCCGCGUGAGUGAUGACGGUCUUCGGAUUGUAAAACUCUGUCUUCAGGGACGAUAAUGACGGUACCUGAGGAGGAAGCCACGGCUAACUACGUGCCAGCCGCCGCAGUAAAAC
rnacentral:rRNA from 1 species